CGCCAUAGGAUGGGUCUGCGGCCGAUUAGGUUGUUGUUGGGGUAACGGCCCAACAAGCCUGUAAUCGGUACGGGUUGUGGGAGCAAGAGCCCGGAGAUGGAUUCUGAGACACGAAUCCAGGCCCUACGGGGCGCAGCAGGCGCGAAAACUUUACAAUGCGGGAAACCGUGAUAAGGGAACUCCGAGUGCCCGUAAAAUCGGGCUGUCCAUCUGUUUAAAUAACAGGUGAAGAAAGGGCCGGGCAAGACCGGUGCCAGCCGCCGCGGUAAUACCGGCGGCUCGAGUGGUGGCCACUAUUACUGGGCUUAAAGCGUUCGUAGCUGGUCUGUUAAGUCUCUGGGGAAAUCUACUGGCUUAACCAAUAGGCGUCUCAGGGAUACUGGCAGACUAGGGACCGGGAGAGGUGAGAGGUACUCCAGGGGUAGGAGUGAAAUCCUGUAAUCCUUGGGGGACCACCUGUGGCGAAGGCGUCUCACCAGAACGGCUCCGACAGUGAGGGACGAAAGCUGGGGGAGCAAACCGGAUUAGAUACCCGGGUAGUCCCAGCCGUAAACGAUGCGCGUUAGGUGUAUCGGUGACCACGAGUCACCGACGUGCCGAAGAGAAAUCGUGAAACGUGCCGCCUGGGAAGUACGGUCGCAAGGCUGAAACUUAAAGGAAUUGGCGGGGGAGCAC
rnacentral:rRNA from 1 species